CGCCUGGGUCCCCGAGGCAGCCCCUAGUGAGCCCGAGGUAUUUUCCUUAUAUGAUCAGGCCUCUCCUAGCCGGCGCUGCUGGUCUGGAGCCUGAGAGGAUUAUGAAAACGUGGCAGGUGAUGGGGGUCAGGGGACCUGGAG
ensembl:scaRNA LOC120098368 small Cajal body-specific RNA 17